rnacentral:tRNA from 1 species
GGAAUAUAGCUCAGUGGUAGAGUUCUUGCUUAGCAUUCAUGAAACUCUGGGUUCAGUCCGCAGUACCA